AUACGGCAAUAUCGCAUCGAAACACCGGGUUCCAUACGAUCACCGAAACAGCGUCGAGACUGGUCAGUACAUAGAUGGGUGACCGCUUGGGAAUACCUGGUGAUGUAA